UACGUAGGGUGCGAGCGUUGUCCGGAAUUAUUGGGCGUAAAGGGCUCGUAGGCGGUUUGUCGCGUCGGGAGUGAAAUCCACUGGCUUAACUGGUGGCUUGCUUCGAUACGGGCAGACUGGAGGUAUGCAGGGGAGAACGGAAUUCCUGGUGUAGCGGUGAAAUGCGCAGAUAUCAGGAGGAACACCGGUGGCGAAGGCGGUUCUCUGGGCAUGUCCUGACGCUGGAGGAGCGAAAGCGUGGGGAGCGAACAGG
rnacentral:rRNA from 1 species